rnacentral:lncRNA from 1 species
CGGCGAAUGGGUUGGGGCGCGCGAGACUGGGCCAGCCCAGUUGGGUCGGUCCGGUUCUCUUCUUCCCUUUUUUUUUUCUUUUAGCCCUUUUCUUUUUCUGUUUUUCUUAUUUCCUUGAUAUCUUCUAAUUUUGAACUCCAAAUUGGUUCAAAUAAAUUCCAGAAAAUUUGUAAAAUCAUGUUUUAUCAUGCUACAACUUUUGGGAGUAAUUUCCCCUCAAAAUAAAAUAUGUAAAAAUACAUUUGCCCUAUAAAUGUCUUUUGGGCUAUAUAGCUAUUUAAAAAAAAUAGUUUUUCAACUCCAAAUAAUUAUCCAAAAAUUAUGGGAUAGCUUAUUUAUGCAAUAAACCCCUUUUAUAAAUAAACCCUAUUGGUUUGAAGAUCCAAAGCUCAAAUGGGUGUAAACCCUAGGGUUUAAAUUGAAAUAAAAAUCUUUCCAAAGCCUUUUGAGAUUCAAAUUUGAAUUCAAAUAUGCAAUUGUGGCAUGAUGCUUAUGGAUGCAAUGCACAUGUAAAAGUUUGAAAUUUGUGGGUGUUACAACAACGCACUUGGG